GCAAACUUGGUCAUUUAGAGGAAGUAAAAGUCGUAACAAGGUUUCCGUAGGUGAACCUGCGGAAGGAUCAUUAAUGGGUUUUUGCUUGUGAAGGGCUGUAGCUGGCCGUUGUGGCAUGUGCACGCCCGGAUCAAUACACAAUCCACCUCCCUUUCACACCUGUGCACAACCGCGCAUGGCUUACUGGUGGGAUUGAUUUACAGACCUGCCUGGUUUGCUAUGUACUUUUUCUCUCUACACACACCCUUGUAAUAAAAGUUCUUGUGGAAUGUGGAUCAUACGAAACGUCACAACUUUCAGCAACGGAUCUCUUGGCUCUCGCAUCGAUGAAGAACGCAGC
rnacentral:misc_RNA from 1 species